UACACCCUGCGGUGUUCGUGGUCGCCUUGAAGUUUUGAGCCAACACCAAUUGAUAGGGAGCCCGGGCUCUGGGUGUGGAAUGUAGGCCUCCAGCCUUUGGAGGAAACAAGAAGCAUUCAGGAGGGCACCCACCUGUUUGAGAACAGGUUCAAGAAAACUUUAAGGACAUUACACGGCACCAGUGGGGUUUCA
rnacentral:other from 1 species